CUCUAGCUGAGUCAGGAUGAGAAAGGGAAAUAGAAGAUGGACACAGGCAAACACUGAGGCAGGCUGCAGCACAGUGGAUUUUCCUCUGCAGAAAGCCUGGCACAGCCCUGACAGCAAAGCCUGCCACAGGCUUGCACAGCUUCACCGCUAUGUAGCCUCAGUCAGCUCAAGUCACCACUUCUCAAAAGUGUCAGCAAUGGAGUUUUGCAAAAAAAACCACUCACUUUAGUUGUGAUCCUGACUUUGCCUGCUCAGAGGAAAAAUGAUGUUGUCAACAUGAGAUCUCUUGCAAGCCUGCAGUGGUCCCAGAGUCCUGACGUGGGAGAACAUUGUUUUCAGUUUCAACAUCUGAAUGCUAUAACAAAGUAUUUCCUGACUUCUGUUCCCCUUGGAUGUACCCCAGUCCAGCAGUCUGUUCUUUUGAUGUGUCUUCCUCAGCGACUUGGAUAACUGACUCAUUUUCCAACCUUUGAAAGCAACACAACGAGUGAUGCUUGUGAAGGACUCCAGCACAAAAGAAAGCAGACAACUGAGUCAGGCAAAGCUGAUGAUCUCAGUAGAGCUUUCCAGACACAUCACUGAGCAGAACUCAGCUUGUACAGAAAAAAACCUGAUCCCAUACAUACAUCUGAAUAGCUGGGUGUUCAUUCCAAGGCGUUUGGUAAGAAUGCUCUUGCACGCGUUGCUCUUUUGCCUCUCCAAGUUCCACUGUACCUCCUUCCCAUGCUGCCCAGCUUGGAGCCUGGUGACGUGAAGGCUGAUCUUCAGGCAAAUGAAGUUCAAUGGGCCGGGUCCUAUCCCCAUGUUUUCCACUAUUAUUUUCUUUGCCAUCAACAUCCCAUUAUUUUGAAUUCAAGCACUCUGUAAUACUGGUAUUUACAAUCACGUGCCAUCAUUCUUUUACAGUAAGGAAAACAAAUAAAAAGUUGUCAAAUGCAUCACCUGA